rnacentral:rRNA from 1 species
UACGUAGGCAGCGAGCGUUGUUCGGAGUUACUGGGCGUAAAGGGCGCGUAGGCUGUGCUGUAAGUCAGGCGUGAAAGCCCCGGGCUCAACCUGGGAAUUGCGCUUGAUACUGCGGCGCUGGAAGGUGGGAGAGGAUGGCGGAAUUCCCAGUGUAGAGGUGAAAUUCGUAGAUAUCGGAAGGAACAUCAGUGGCGAAAGCGACUUCCUGGACCAGCACUGACACUGAGGCACGAAAGCGUGGGGAGCAAACAGG